GCAACCACAGAAUGACAGAAAACAAAUCAGGCUAACAUGGUUUCUUUAUUUCUUUCCUCUCACUGAUCAAAAUUUUUGGAAAGAGAAGAACAGAAGCAAUUGCAAAAAAAUGUCAAUUGCAGUUAAUUAAUCACAAGAUCGAGUUAUUUUUCUUCUCUUUUCCGAAGAAAAGGGAGGAGAAUUAAAGAAGCCAAUUAAGUGGCGAGGAGGAGGAGAAGAAGACGGCGGCGGCGGCGGCGGCGGCGAUCACCUCCCGUCCUCUCUCUGCGAGGGGCUUCUCCAGAAACCGGCGCCGUAGAAGCUCGCCCAGACCUCCUUCUCCACGUCGGCGAGGAUGCCGUGCUCGGGCGCGGGCGCGGGCGCGGCCUUGCACUCCGCCGCCUCCGCCUUCUUGACCUUGGAGGCGCGGCAGGCGACGACGCGGCGNNN
rnacentral:lncRNA from 1 species